AGAGUGAACGCUGGCGGCAUGCCUAACACAUGCAAGUCGAACGGUAACAGGCCCGCAAGGGUGCUGACGAGUGGCGGACGGGUGAGGAAUACAUCGGAAUUUGCCCAUGUCGUGGGGGAUAACGUAGGGAAACUUACGCUAAUACCGCAUACGACCUUACGGUGAAAGCGGGGGAUCAGCAAUGACCUCGCGCGAUUGGAUAAGCCGAUGUCGGAUUAGCUAGUUGGCGGGGUAAAGGCCUACCAAGGCGACGACGGGUA
rnacentral:rRNA from 1 species